rnacentral:lncRNA from 1 species
UAAUUAAAAUGGCCAGAUUAAUUGGGAGAGACUCAAACAUCCGAAAAUACUAAAAAUUCGAUUUUAUGAAUACUUCAAACAAUGACAUCAUCACACAUUCAAAUCAUGAUCCAAAAUUGUGAAUAUAUGUACAGAAAUUUGAGUUUUUUUUUUUUUUUUUUUCUUUGAGCUAGGCAGGGAGCCUUAUUUUUCUUCGAGGCAAGCCUAAAUAGAGCCACUAUGUUUCAGGUAAAGAAAAAAAAAACGGUGAUAUAAACAAAACAUCUAUUUGCAUAAUUU